GAUGAACGCUGGCGGCGUGCUUAACACAUGCAAGUCGAACGGAAAGGCCAGUGCUUGCACUGGUACUCGAGUGGCGAACGGGUGAGUAACACGUGGGUGAUCUGCCCUGCACUUCGGGAUAAGCCUGGGAAACUGGGUCUAAUACCGGAUAGGACAAUGGUUUGGAUGCCGUUGUGGAAAGUUUUUUCGGUGUGGGAUGAGCUCGCGGCCUAUCAGCUUGUUGGUGGGGUAAUGGCCUACCAAGGCGUCGACGGGUAGCCGGCCUGAGAGGGUGUACGGCCACAUUGGGACUGAGAGACGGCCCAGACUCCUACGGGAGGCAGCAGUGGGGAAUAUUGCACAAUGGGCGCAAGCCUGAUGCAGCGACGCCGCGUGGGGGAUGACGGCCUUCGGGUUGUAAACUCCUUUCGCUAGGGACGAAGCGUAUUUGUGACGGUACCUGGAGAAGAAGCACCGGCUAACUACGUG
rnacentral:rRNA from 1 species